AUCAGUAAGCGGAGGAAAAGAAACUAACAAGGAUUCCCUUAGUAGCGGCGAGCGAACAGGGAUGAGCCCAGCACCGAACCUCGCGCCCGGUUGAGCGGGUGCCGAGGAAUGUGGUGUUCGGGAGGAUCGUGCGCGCCUGUCCGGUAUAUAUCGUCCAAGUCUUCAUGAACGAGGCGAGCAAACCACAGAGGGUGUCAGUCCCGUAGCUUAGACGAGCCGAGACCGUGCAUCGGAUCCCUUCCCAAGAGUCGGGUUGCUUGAGCGUGCAGCCCUAAGCGGGAGGUAAACUCCUUCUAAGGCUAAAUAUCGCCACGAGACCGAUAGCGAACAAGUACCGCGAGGGAAAGUUGAAAAGAACUUUGAAGAGAGAGUUCAAGAGUGCGUGAAACCGUUCAGGGGGUUAAACGGGUGGGCCCUCGAAGGUCGAACGAGCCCCCGCUCCCGGCACUUGGUUGUAUGCCCUCUGCUGCGAAGAGACCGACUUGAUUUGGAGGCUCUGUUCGUUGGCGAGGACCGCAUUAGCCACGCCAAGGUCCGCAAGUGGGGGGCCUAGUAGGACUCCGCGACCGACUGGGUGUCUGUUACACGGGGCGUUUUCCGUUAGCGAGUUUUCUUUCUCGGUUUCGCGCCGAGUUGUUUACGAGCGCGGCGUUUUUCUCAACAGUACUGCCCGGUCGUGACCUGUCUCCUCCCGGGAGAGCGCGUUUUUUUCUGCAAAGAGAGGCGCGUUCUAACCCGUGGAGGCCCAGAGCGGAGAGUAGAAGUCGGGUCCCACCCGACCCGUCUUGAAACACGGACCAAGGAGUCUAACAUGUGCGCGAGUCGUCGAGUCUAUCACGAAACUCGCGAGGCGCAAUGAAAGUGAAGCGGCCCCGAUGAGGGUGCAUCCGCGAGGGGUGAUCCCGUCUCGAACAGAGCGGGCGCAACCCCUGGGCGUCCGAAUGCUCGCGAGGUGAUGCCGCCCGUUAAACGGUGGUGUGUGCCGAGUCGGCCGGACGAACCCAGAGCGCACACGUUGGGACCCGAAAGAUGGUGACCUAUGCCUGGCCAGGACGAAGCCAGGGGAAACCCUGGUGGAGGUCCGCAGCGAUUCUGACGUGCAAAUCGAUCGUCGGAGUUGGGUAUAGGGGCGAAAGACUAAUCGAACCAUCUAGUAGCUGGUUCCCCCCGAAGUUUCCCUCAGGAUAGCUGGUGCUCGCAAAGAGAACGAACGGAGUUUCAUCCGGUAAAGCGAAUGAUUAGAGGCCUUGGGGUCGAAACGACCUCAACCUAUUCUCAAACUUUCAAUGGGUGAGAAGACCGGCCUUUUGUUCUUGACUGAGGCCGCGUCAACUUGAUCGAAUCUGAGCACCUAGUGGGCCAUUUUUGGUAAGCAGAACUGGCGCUGUGGGAUGAACCAAACGCCCGGUUAAGGCGCCUAAACGACGCACAUUUCGGAUCCCACGAAAAGGAGUUGGUUGCUAAAGACAGCAGGACGGUGGCCAUGGAGGUCGGAAUCCGCUCAGGAGUGUGUAACAACUCACCUGCCGAAGCAACUAGCCCUUAAAAUGGGAGGCGCUAUAGCGUCGUGCCUAUACCGGGCCGUCGGUCGGCAGAGCGAAUAACGUCCGUGUCAGCUCGAAGAGAGCGACGGCGCUUAGGCCCCGACGAGUAGGGGGGUCGCGACGGUGAGCGUUGAAGGGUUGUGGGCGUGAGCCUGCCCGGAGCCGCCGUCGGUGCAGAUCUUGGUGGUAGUAGCAAAUACUCCAGAGGGAUCCUGGAGGACUGACGCGGAGAAGGGUUUCAUGUGAACAGUGGUUGGACAUGAGUCAGUCGAUCCUAAGCCGCAGGCGAAAGCCGACCUAGUGACGGGCGUGAUUUUUGUAUAUUUUUUUUUUGACGGUGUGUGUGAACCCUGAAUCGGUCUUUCUUUUCUUUUUUUAACCGAGAGAGAGAGAUCGAUCGACGACGGGGAUGAGCGCUUGUCGUCAAGUCUAUAUAUAUAUAUAUUCACAUUGAGACGCCACCCUGGUUAAGGCGAAAGGGAAUCCGGUCCUGAUUCCGGAACCGGGCUGCGGCUACGUCCGCGAUAAAACGACUUCAACCCUCGUAAUGUCACGGUCGCGGUAACGCGACACAAACCGGAGAAGCUGCCGAGAACCCCGGGAAGAGUUUUCUUUUCUGCUUGAGGGACCGAGACCCUGGAAUCCCGUCGCGGGGCGAGAGGGUUACGGAUUUAGCUGUCAAAGGCUAUCCCGAAGAGCGUCGCGUUUCUGCGACGUCCGUGGUCGUUCUCGGCUGGCCCUUGAAAAUCCGGUGGGAGGGUUACGUUGUUGGACGUUCGCGCCCGCUCGUACCGAUAUCCGCAUCAGGUCUCCAAGGUGAACAGCCUCUAGUCGAUGGAUGAAUGUGGGUAAGGGAAAUCGGCAAAUUGGAUCCGUAACUUCGGGAUAAGGAUUGGCUCUGAGGGUCGAGGCGGUCGGGCUGAGUUUAUCAAGCGAAGCCGUCGGCGGACGUGUCG
rnacentral:rRNA from 1 species